CAAUAGCGUAUAUUAAAGUUGUUGCAGUUAAAAAGCUCGUAGUUGGAUUUCUGGUAGGAGCGACCGUGCCGAACUUGAUUGUUCGAGUAUUGUGUUGUCUUCAGCCAUCCUCGUGGAGAACUUUUCUAACAUUAACUUGUUGGGAUUGGGACCCGCGUCGGUUACUGUGAAAAAAUUAGAGUGUUUAAAGCAGGCAUUAGCUUGAAUACAUUAGCAUGGAAUAAUAAGAUAGGACUUUGGUACUAUUUUGUUGGUUUGCAUACCAAAUUAAUGAUCAACAGGAACAGUUUGAGGAUAUUCGUAUGAACAUGUCAGAGGUGAAAUUCUUGGAUUUUGAUCAGACGAACUACUGCGAAAGCAUUUAUCAAGGAUGUUUUCAUUAA
rnacentral:rRNA from 1 species